rnacentral:rRNA from 1 species
AGAGUUUGAUCAUGGCUCAGGAUGAACGCUGGCGGCGUGCCUAACACAUGCAAGUCGAGCGAUCUCUUCGGAGAGAGCGGCGGACGGGUGAGUAACGCGUGGGUAACCUGCCCUGUACACACGGAUAACAUACCGAAAGGUAUACUAAUACGGGAUAACAUAUAAAAGUCGCAUGGCUUUUGUAUCAAAGCUCCGGCGGUACAGGAUGGACCCGCGUCUGAUUAGCUAGUUGGUAAGGUAAUGGCUUACCAAGGCAACGAUCAGUAGCCGACCUGAGAGGGUGAUCGGCCACACUGGAACUGAGACACGGUCCAGACUCCUACGGGAGGCAGCAGUGGGGAAUAUUGCACAAUGGGCGAAAGCCUGAUGCAGCAACGCCGCGUGAGCGAUGAAGGCCUUCGGGUCGUAAAGCUCUGUCCUCAAGGAAGAUAAUGACGGUACUUGAGGAGGAAGCCCCGGCUAACUACGUGCCAGCCGCCGCGGUAAUAC